rnacentral:rRNA from 1 species
UGCAAGUCGAGCGGUAGAGAGAAGCUUGCUUCUCUUGAGAGCGGCGGACGGGUGAGUAAUGCCUAGGAAUCUGCCUGGUAGUGGGGGAUAACGCUCGGAAACGGACGCUAAUACCGCAUACGUCCUACGGGAGAAAGCAGGGGACCUUCGGGCCUUGCGCUAUCAGAUGAGCCUAGGUCGGAUUAGCUAGUUGGUGAGGUAAUGGCUCACCAAGGCGACGAUCCGUAACUGGUCUGAGAGGAUGAUCAGUCACACUGGAACUGAGACACGGUCCAGACUCCUACGGGAGGCAGCAGUGGGGAAUAUUGGACAAUGGGCGAAAGCCUGAUCCAGCCAUGCCGCGUGUGUGAAGAAGGUCUUCGGAUUGUAAAGCACUUUAAUUUGGGAGGAAGGGCAUUUACCUAAUACGU